rnacentral:rRNA from 1 species
AUUGAACGCUGGCGGCAGGCCUAACACAUGCAAGUCGAGCGGUAACACAGAGGAGCUUGCUCCUUGGGUGACGAGCGGCGGACGGGUGAGUAAUGCCUGGGAUCUGCCCGAUAGAGGGGGAUAACUACGGGAAACUGUAGCUAAUACCGCAUAAUGUCUACGGACCAAAGUGGGGGCUCUUCGGACCUCAUGCUAUCGGAUGAACCCAGGUGGGAUUAGCUAGUUGGUGAGGUAAUGGCUCACCAAGGCGACGAUCUCUAACUGGUUUGAGAGAAUGACCAGUCACACUGGAACUGAGACACGGUCCAGACUCCUACGGGAGGCAGCAGUGGGGAAUAUUGCACAAUGGGCGCAAGCCUGAUGCAGCCAUGCCGCGUGUGUGAAGAAGGCCUUCGGGUUGUAAAGCACUUUCAGCGGGGAGGAAGGGUUACUAGUUAAUACCUAGUGACAUUGACGUUACUCGCAGAAGAAGCACCGGCUAACUCCGUGCCAGCAGCCGCGGUAAUACGGAGGGUGCAAGCGUUAAUCGGAAUUACUGGGCGUAAAGCGCACGCAGGCGGUUUGUUAAGUCAGAUGUGAAAUCCCCGAGCUCAACUUGGGAACUGCAUUUGAAACUGGCAAGCUAGAGUCUUGNAGAGGGGGGUAGAAUUCCAGGUGUAGCGGUGAAAUGCGUAGAGAUCUGGAGGAAUACCGGUGGCGAAG